UGUUAGUCUUAGCGUCCACGACA
rnacentral:sRNA from 1 species